AAAGGUUACUGCUGACAUGUCAUGCAUAAAUGAUAAGAACCGUAAUAAGUGACAGCAAUAAACAUGUCGACUCAAUGGCUUGCUUCCUUAAUAACACCCUUAUUCAUUAAUCGGCCGUGGUCAUUAUUAAAAACGUGAU